rnacentral:lncRNA from 1 species
AAUAAUUAGAAUAUUUUGUUGCUAAAGAAAAUAAAUAUUUCAUGCUAUUAUGUGUCGGCACACAAAAAUUUUUUUGAUUGGCAGGCAUCGGCACGGCUCGGUACGCACCGUGUCAUACCGUGCCGGCAAAUUUCCGGCACGACCUUGUGCCACAGCACUUAAAUCAUUGGUGCAAAUGAAGUAGGAUUUUUAAAUCUUCUAUUGCAAUACUCGUAUCAUACUGGCAAGUUUCCGGCACGACCUUGUGCCACGGCACUUAAAUUAUUGGCACUGACAUCAAAUUAUUAUUUGAUACUUAC